GCACGUACUUUUAUUUUUUAAAGAAUCCAUUGGCAUGUAACGUGACCGGAUGAGACGCCCGCCGUGUUGAUUCUGACACCAACUUCGAUCACUGCCCAAACUAAACUGAAUUUGUACAAAAGCUUUCCAAAAUCGAAUACAACUAGCCCAAAGCCAACGGUAUCUUCAAAUUAAAAUUGGUUUUCUGUUGAAAAAUAUCAUUUGAAAGUAUAUUUUCAGUUCGUU
rnacentral:misc_RNA from 1 species